rnacentral:lncRNA from 1 species
GCCACAGUCCCCGCCACACAGGUCGUGGGUUCUCCUUUGAGAGUGACCACUGGUGCCUACAGCUUUUCCUGAACUGGAGACGGAUCCUGCCCUGGGGGUCUCAGUCACCGCGAGGACUCGAGGGUAACUGCCAGAGGGCGCAGGUGGCCUGAGGGCUAUUUUUAAAGAUUUUCUGUUUCCUUGAUUUCUCCUCCUUUGGAUUUAUUGGACUUCCUGAAUCUUUCAAGAAUCUAUCCAGUGUCUUUAAGAUAGCAAAACCAAGUGUCAAAAGCACCUUCUGCACAGUCUGCACACACUGGCCAGUGGUCCUGUUGCCGCAAGGUUGAGCUGUGUCCCACAGACAUGGGUCCUCCGGGUGAUGAGGAGCCGCUGGAGGGCCCUGAGCUGCACGUACUAAUGAUUAAUGCCCCGUCCGUGCUGGCCGGUUUCUCAAAUGCCUUGUGACGAUUGCGCACAGCCGGACAUCAUUUGUACUGAGAGAUCUGAGAAAAGGAAGUCACUGAGGCUUUCUGAGGUUAGCUGGGCGGCCAU